rnacentral:rRNA from 1 species
GGGGAAUUUUCCGCAAUGGGCGCAAGCCUGACGGAGCAACGCCGCGUGAGGGAGGAAGGCCUGUGGGUUGUAAACCUCUUUUCUCAAGGAAGAACACAAUGACGGUACUUGAGGAAUCAGCAUCGGCUAACUCCGUGCCAGCAGCCGCGGUAAGACGGAGGAUGCAAGCGUUAUCCGGAAUUAUUGGGCGUAAAGCNNCCGUAGGUGGUUAUAAAAGUCUGUUGUUAAAGCCCACAGCUCAACUGUGGAUCGGCAAUGGAAACUGUAUGACUUGAGUGUGGUAGGGGUAGAGGGAAUUCCUAGUGUAGCGGUGAAAUGCGUAGAUAUUAGGAAGAACACCAGUGGCGAAGGCGCUCUACUGGGCCAUAACUGACACUGAUGGACGAAANNUAGGGGAGCGAAAGGGAUUAGAUACCCCUGUAGUC